rnacentral:rRNA from 1 species
GACAGAGGGUGCAAACGUUGUUCGGAAUUACUGGGCGUAAAGCGCGUGUAGGUGGCAAGGCAAGUCGGGUGUGAAAGCCCUGGGCUCAACCCAGGAAGUGCACUCGAUACUGCCUCGCUAGAGUCCCGGAGAGGUUGGUGGAACUCUCGGUGUAGAGGUGAAAUUCGUAGAUAUCGAGAAGAACACCGGUGGCGAAGGCGGGUCUCUGGGCAACAACUGACGCUGGAGGAGCGAAAGCGUGGGGAGCGAACAG